rnacentral:tmRNA from 1 species
GGAAGCCCUGCCUGGGGUUGAAGCGUUAAAACUUAAUCAGGCUAGUUUGUUAGUGGCGUGUCCGUCCGCAGCUGGCAAGCGAAUGUAAAGACUGACUAAGCAUGUAGUACCGAGGACGUAGGAAUUUCGGACGCGGGUUCAACUCCCGCCAGCUCCACCA